rnacentral:lncRNA from 1 species
UAGAAAAACCGCUCUUAGAAUGUGACCUGCCAGAUGAUCAAGUCCCAGGUCCACAGUGACAAGUCAUGUUGAUAGGAAGUUCCCUUGAGGCAGCAGAAGAAACCCAGGACCAGGGAGGGGAGGGGACUGAGAGACAGAGGAUCAGCUCUUAUCCUAGCCCCUGGCAGCUGGACGGCUUAGCAAGGUGAGAGAAUAUGACAGGAACGAAGCUUCAGUAGGUCUCUGAAAGACAUGAGACCUGAAUAAAACGCUCUCUCUCCAUAGUCACACAUUUAGAUGGACAUAUAUUGUUUUUAAGUUCUCAGGUUUUCAGAUGAGGAACCCGAAUCCCUGAGACUUUGUCUUGCCUGAGAACAGGCAGCUAGC